UGUGUACGCAAAUGUAGCCCAAAGUGGCAAAUCCGAAGACAAUUCUAAAGACUGCGUCAGUUAUAGACUGGUUGAGCUUUGCGUGCACACCUCUCGUGUCAUGUGUGGUCUUCUGGACGAGAAAACUUCCAUUAAAAGCAACUCGGAUUGCUUCAAACUUCGUUUAUCUGACUACACGUGUACAUAUCGGAGUGUAUUAUUUUGAACUCCGCACCUCUCACGUUUUGGACGCAAACCAUUUUGUUCAUAUCGACUAAACGUGUGUGCAUCUAACUCUACAUCUUGUAACGCAACUGCCUUCACGAUGCUGAAGCUUGUUGUUCUUUUCGUAUUUUUAAUAACCGGAGCAUUUGUUGGAGGCUUCAUAUCUCCCCUCCUGGGAUUCCUGUCCCAGGGAACUGCAGCUGGAUAUACUGCGUCUUGGUGGCUGUAUCUCACGACUAUGGCAGCAAAACUGGGUGGUGUUGUUUCUAGUUAUGUGGUGUAUGUCCUUGUUUUACUCGGAGUGAGUAAGGUAAUGGCAAGGAUGAUACCUCUAAUAUGCAUACUUGGUUUCUUCAUCUACUACUAUCUCGAUUGGAUGCAAGGCACUGAUGAGCAAGAAUUAAAUUAGAUACAUCCCAACAUAUCAGGACGGGGGUGGGGCGCAAUAUAUAGCGCCUUAACUGAUCACAAAACAAAACACACCAUCCUUUCUGAUGAUUGGUAUGGGGUCUAUUGUGCAAAUAAACUUGUUAUCGGGGUAGCUGGUAUACCAUGGCAACUCUUUGUUUAACCCUUGACUUAAACGUUUGUGGUUAUUUGUAUAAUAUUUUCACCAAAGUCUUCAUUUUGUUUAUUUUACCAAGUGAUAGUGUCAACUGUAUUGUCAAUGUUCAAAAUGGCCGUCAUCACAUCCAGCAGCCACUUUGGGUUUGUCUUCUCAGCCGCUAUUUUGGGCUUUUUCCCCCUAAGAAAUACAGGCCCUCAUCGUUGCACUGGGGACAGAAACCCAAAGGUGGCGCUAUUAUGAAACAAUGCAGUGUGUAGUAAUAUAGGGGAACUCCUUUCUCACAACUUAAUACCCACAACAGGGUUGACCAAGUCUGGUUAUGUAUAAUAAUUAUAAUAGAAAACGUACGCCAUAAUAAAUGUAAAUUAACUAAUUUUCAUGAGAUCUUGAUGUGUCACUUUCUCCGGAUAUAAUAUAGCACAUGAGCAUGAUAAAAAUGGUCAGUGCAGAGGUCUUGUGGGUUAGAAUCUCGUCUGAGAUGCCUGUGAGUUUGUUUCAACAUGCCUCGGCAAAGUAUACGAGUUAUACAAUACACUGGACACACGGGUCAAAGACCAUUCUUUUCACCAUCAAUGUUUAGUAGCGUACAGUGCGCCACCAAAAGAUGGACCGUGGAGGUCAGUUUCAAAGAAGAACGACAAAACAGAUAAUAUACAAUAAAGAAUCCAACACAACUUGGGGGAAAUCAUUGAAGAUCCAUCGACAGAUCAUUACGUUAAAAAUAUAGAUGGGAAAAUUCAAACGUCUUUGUAACAUUAAUUACUUUUUUUGGAGACGGACUUAUUUAGUCGGAACUCACUCUAGUUCCCAUUUGCAUGUAACAGCUAAAUAGAAAUGUCCAUGGAGUUCAAAAAUAAAGUGGUAAACCUUUUAAAACGCGGCAAUACACUUAUAGAGGCCAAAUAGAUGCUCUUAAAACUAAUUUUUCAGAGAGAAAAACAUAUAAUUAUUUGUUUGCGUUUUGUGUACUGAUAUUUUGAGGGUGGGGUCGUGUCCACUGCCUUUAAAUAACAAAGUAGUCAACGACCUGACGUUUCGACACUAGAGUCCUAACUUGUAUUUUUAGCCGUUGAAAAAGAAACUUCUGGGUCGAAACGUAUACAAAAAACGGCCAAUAAUUGAUUGUUAUUGUUGAUUAUUAUUGUCGUUUUGAUUUUUGUUAAAUAAUUUAUUUAUUUAUUUUUUAUGAUUAUCAUUUUUGUGUAAACAUCCUUUAACAUUUUUGUGUUUGCAUGGUUACCCUCUUGGCAUGUCAUGACAGCUGCUUACCAUCAGAAUGAUUUGGUUACAGUGUUUUGUUCAGUAUACAAACAAAGACACGUAAGCUCUAAUUGGACGCUAAGCAUAAGCAGCUUCAGUGACAUUGGGCCAAGUAGUCUAAUUUAAAGUAAAGACAUUAAAACUUUAUUGUUUGAGCUAUUGAUCGUUAGAGGCUGCAUUUCCAAAAAAAAAUAAUUAUCUUGUGCAUUCUAUAAUUUGUAGCUACACUUCCAAUGAAGUUUACCAUGGGGGCAAUUAAAAUUAAGUUUCUAAAAGAAGAAAA